CGCAGAUAAGUGAAAUGCAAAUUGAGAAUGCAUGUUGACUACCAAUCCUACUGUGUCAACUGGAACCAAAACUGACUCCAAAACUUGGUUUCAAUCAGUUUCAGCAAUUCCUUGUUUUAGAUUUACAUAGUUCAUUCUCACCUGUUAAAGUUAUUAAGAUGCUUAGAUUGUUCUACCAAAAUGCCAGGCCUUUUUUGCUGCUUC
rnacentral:lncRNA from 1 species